rnacentral:rRNA from 1 species
UUAACGGCCGCAGUUAGUAGCUGUGCUAAGGUAGCGUAGUAAGUUGUCCUUUAAAUGGGGAAAGGAAUGAAUGGUUUGACGUGAGAAAAGCUGUCUCAAGUAAAAAAUAAGAAAUUUUCUUUUCGGUGAAAAGCCCGAAAUUUAAUUAAAAGACGAGAAGACCCUUUCGAGCUUGAUUAUAUUAUUAAAAAAUUAUUAAUAAAAGUUUAGUUGGGGCAACUCAGGAGCAAAUUAAGACUCCUAGAGGAUUAUAGGGAUCCAAAAAUUUUGAAAAGAGAAAAAGCUACCGUAGGGAUAACAGCGUUAUCUUUUCUGAGAGAACAUAUUGAAGAAAAG